CGGAAACACAACCGGAAUUAAUGUGUCCCCCCGGAAACACAACCGGAAUUAAUGUGUCCCCCCGGAAACAAAACCGGAAUUAAUGUGUCCCCCCGGAAACAAAAUCGGAAUUAAUGUGUCCCCCCCCGGAAACACAACCGGAAUUAAUGUGUCCCCUCGGAAACACAACUGGAAUUAAUGUGUCCCCUCGGAAACACAACUGGAAUUACUGUUUCCCCCCGGAAACACAACCGGAAUUAAUGUGUCCCCCCGGAAACACAACCGGAAUUAAUGUGUCCCCCCGGAAACAAAACCGGAAUUAAUGUGUCCCCCCGGAAAC